rnacentral:tRNA from 2 species
GGUCCGUUGGUCAAGGGGUUAAGACACCGCCUUUUCACGGCGGUAACACGGGUUCGAAUUCCGUACGGACUA